rnacentral:rRNA from 1 species
GACGAACGCUGGCGGCGUGCUUAACACAUGCAAGUCGAACGGAAAGGCCUUUUCGGAGGUACUCGAGUGGCGAACGGGUGCGUAACACGUGGGUGAUCUUCCCUGCACUCUGGGAUAAGCCUGGGAAACUGGGUCUAAUACCGGAUAGGACCGCACUUUAGUGUGUGUGGUGGAAAGUUUUUUCGGUGUAGGAUGAGCCCGCGGCCUAUCAGCUUGUUGGUGGGGUAAUGGCCUACCAAGGCGGCGACGGGUAGCCGGACUGAGAGGUUGGUCGGCCACAUUGGGACUGAGAUACGGCCCAGACUCCGACGGGAGGCAGCAGUGGGGAAUAUUGCACAAUGGGCGCAAGCCUGAUGCAGCGACGCCGCGUGGGGGAUGACGGCCUUCGGGGGGUAAACUCCUUGCGCCAGGGACGAAGCGUUUUGUGACGGUACCUGGAGAAGAAGCACCGGCUAACUACGUG